GCGAUGCCUAUAAUGGGUUUUAAAUAUACUUUUUGAGUAACUACUAUGAAAAGGAACUCAUCUGAGGCAUUUG